rnacentral:rRNA from 1 species
AUUGAACGCUGGCGGCAGGCCUAACACAUGCAAGUCGAGCGGAUGAAGGGAGCUUGCUCCUGGAUUCAGCGGCGGACGGGCGAGUAAUGCCUAGGAAUCUGCCUGGUAGUGGGGGAUAACGUCCGGAAACGGGCGCUAAUACCGCAUACGUCCUGAGGGAGAAAGUGGGGGAUCUUCGGACCUCACGCUAUCAGAUGAGCCUAGGUCGGAUUAGCUAGUUGGUGGGGUAAAGGCCUACCAAGGCGACGAUCCGUAACUGGUCUGAGAGGAUGAUCAGUCACACUGGAACUGAGACACGGUCCAGACUCCUACGGGGGGCAGCAGUGGGGAAUAUUGGACAAUGGGCGAAAGCCUGAUCCAGCCAUGCCGCGUGUGUGAAGAAGGUCUUCGGAUUGUAAAGCACUUUAAGUUGGGAGGAAGGGCAGUAAGUUAAUACCUUGCUGUUUUGACGUUACCAACAGAAUAAGCACCGGCUAACUUCGUG